UAUUGAUUGAUAAAGUUGAACAGCAUUUAUUUAUUAACAGUUAGGCCCCAUCACUAACUAAUCUGUGUAACAUGUGAUGGCGUGUGUGUAAGAGGCCACCAACUGUAAAUGGAGUAGAACAGGAGAACACUGAAAACAAGAUUCUGAGGUACAAUGCUGGAGAACAAAGUAAAGCGGCAAGACAAAGUACCUCCAACAGACGACUUGAAGCUAUAUUGCCAAUGUACGGAAACAAACAAGUGAUGGAAUCUCUAUGUGAAAAAAUUGAUGAAGAUGGGAAUUGGUACUGCACUGUGUGUCAGAGUGACCUGGAGAGAUUUGAACAAUGCUACAAUGUUGAAGGAGGAUAUUUUGAGCAUCUAAGAGAUUCAAUUGUUGAUGUUUAUGUGAACAGGUCUACAGAACAUAUUUCCCCCUGUUCUAGUGUCGAAUUUUCAAAUGAAUAGACUAUGUGAUAACUGUAAACCUACUUUUGGGCCACCAUGUAUACAGAUCUAUAUAAGAAGGGGAAGCAACAAUUUUAACAUUUCAAUAAGUGCUGAUCUUUUUUUUUUAAUCAAAAUCUUUAGUUUUUUUGUUGUUUUUCAUACUUCCCACAACCCCCCAAAUAUCUUUAUUAUUAUUUUUUCUAUUACUUCCUUCUAAGAAUUUUAAACUUAUAUUAUACAGUCUUACUGUAAAAAAAGGUUAAUUAUUAACAAUCAGAAUCAAACAAGAGUCAGACAUUAGCUCUGGAGGCUUUUAAAUUAAAAAUAAAUUAAUUAAAUAAAU